GCGGGGUGGGGGCGUUAACCUCCGCGCCUGCGCGCUGGAAGGCGCUCUUGCAGGUGGCAGCAUCGUAGCUUCCGGGCACCCAGGAAAGGAGAUAAUUCUGAGAUUUUUGCCGCUAAAAUGAUCUGGCUACAAGAGCUAGGAAUGAAAAGUUAUUUGGGUCGAGGAAAGGUAUGAAUGCAUUGAGGACAGAUCUUGAUGGACGGCUUCGAGCUCUAGGCCUGUGGCCUGCAGUCAGCGGCUUCGGCUUCGCAAGAACUGUGGACUGUUUGAAAUCCCUAAAGCACUAAAUUCUCCCGCAUGUUUUGGAAGUCUUUAUCUCGAUUGUAAUGCUGAUCAAUAAAUUGGUACCUGCUUAA